rnacentral:rRNA from 1 species
AGAGUUGAUCAUGGCUCAGGAUGAACGCUAGCGGCAGGCUUAAUACAUGCAAGUCGAGGGGUAACAGGGGAGCUUGCUCUCGCUGACGACCGGCAAACGGGUGCGGAACACGUACAGAACCUUCCUUCGAGCGGGGAAUAGCCCAGAGAAAUUUGGAUUAAUACCCCAUAGUAUUACGGAGUGGCAUCACUUUGUAAUUAAAGAUUUAUCACUUGAAGAUGGCUGUGCGGCUGAUUAGGUAGUUGGCGGGGUAACGGCCCACCAAGCCUUCGAUCAGUAACUGGUGUGAGAGCACGACCAGUCACACGGGCACUGAGACACGGGCCCGACUCCUACGGGAGGCAGCAGUAAGGAAUAUUGGUCAAUGGACGAAAGUCUGAACCAGCCAUGCCGCGUGGAGGAUGAAGGCCCUCUGGGUUGUAAACUUCUUUUAUAUGGGACGAAAAAAGAUCUUUCUAGGUCACCUGACGGUACCAUAUGAAUAAGCACCGGCUAACUCCGUGCCAGCAGCCGCGGUAAUACGGAGGGUGCAAGCGUUAUCCGGAUUCACUGGGUUUAAAGGGUGCGUAGGUGGGUUGGUAAGUCAGUGGUGAAAUCUCCGAGCUUAACUUGGAAACUGCCAUUGAUACUAUCAGUCUUGAAUAUUGUGGAGGUCAGCGGAAUAUGUCAUGUAGCGGUGAAAUGCUUAGAUAUGACAUAGAACACCAAUUGAGAAGGC